GGGGAAUUAACUCAGCGGUCAGAGUGGCUGCCUGUUAAGCAGCUGGUCGUAGGUUCAAAUCCUACAUUCCCCGCCA
rnacentral:tRNA from 2 species